rnacentral:rRNA from 1 species
GACGAACGCUGGCGGCGUGCUUAACACAUGCAAGUCGAACGGAAAGGCCCUGCUUUUGUGGGGUGCUCGAGUGGCGAACGGGUGAGUAACACGUGAGUAACCUGCCCUUGACUUUGGGAUAACUUCAGGAAACUGGGGCUAAUACCGGAUAGGAGCUCCUGCUGCAUGGUGGGGGUUGGAAAGUUUCGGCGGUUGGGGAUGGACUCGCGGCUGAUCAGCUUGUUGGUGGGGUAGUGGCUUACCAAGGCUUUGACGGGUAGCCUGCCUGAGAGGGUGACCGGCCACAUUAGGACUGAGAUACGGCCCAGACUCCUACGGGAGGCAGCAGUGGGGAAUAUUGCACAAUGGGCGGAAGCCUGAUGCAGCAACGCCGCGUGCGGGAUGACGGCCUUCGGGUUGUAAACCGCUUUCGCCUGUGACGAAGCGUGAGUGACGGUAAUGGGUAAAGAAGCACCGGCUAACUACGUG